AAUUCAGUGAAUCAUCGAGUCUUUGAACGCACAUUGCGCCCCCUGGUAUUCCGGGGGGCAUGCCUGUCCGAGCGUCAUU
rnacentral:rRNA from 3 species